rnacentral:lncRNA from 1 species
GGAGAGGAGGAAAGAAGAAAAGGGAGGAGGAGUGAGGAGAAAGGCGCACCUUUCUUCUUCUUUCUCUACCUUCUCCAUCUUUUCUUCUUCUUUCUCUACCUCCUCCAUCUUUUCUUCUUCUUUCUCUACCUUCUCCACCUUUUCUUCUUCUUUCUUUACCUCCUCCACCUUUUCUUCUUCUUUCUCUACCUCCUCCACCUUUUCUUCUUCUUUCUCUACCUCCUCCACCUUUUCUUCUUCUUUCUCUACCUUCUCCACCUUUUCUUCUUCUUUCUCUACCUCCUCCACCUUUUCUUCUUCUUUCUUUACCUUCUCCACCUUUUCUUCUUCUUUCUCUACCUUCUCCAUACACUGUAUAAUGCUCAUUGGUGUGUGUUUGUAGGCUUGAGGCAGAUACACUCCAUGUCACUGAUGCACCGCUUAUUCUCUGCUGUUGACAUCAUACGAUAACAAAAUGUUCAAUUCUCGUUCCAGUUUCUCCCGCAGGUGGAGUGACUCAGAAGCAAUCAAGAUGUUAGUGAAUCUGUUCUGUGCAGCAGCAGAGAGAGAACAGCAGACAGGAGAGAAGAUACUGGAGCUGUUAUCAUCAGUGUGCACAUACAAAACAUUCCCUCUCCCUCACUGGGAUUAUUAUGAUGAUGAUGAUGAUGAUGAUGAUCAGUGUAGUGUCCUGCUGGAUCUGUACUCCCGCCUGAAGGACCAUGAGACUGAAACAGGUCUGAGUGUCCUUCCAUCAUUACACUCAGUUCUCCAGUCAGCUCCUGCAGUCUGGUCCAUAGACCUCUCAGAGAGAAAGACCUCCAUCCUCCUGGAAGUAUUGAAACUCCAACCAGAGAAGAAACAAGUGGAGCUGACAGGCUGCUCAGGUGAAGAGAGUGAAGUGAGGAGUGUCCUACAGUGUCUGCCUUAUAUCUCACAGCUCAGUUGCGAUCCAGAGUUCUUCCAGAGAGUGUGUACAUUCCUGUCUGUCCGAUCCAGAGCGGAGGCUGAGCAGUUGUCCUCUCUGCUGCAGCUGCUGGGGUUCACCCUGCGGUUAACAGGAGACUUACCCAGGAAAACCUGCCGGUCUGUGGGGAGAGUUCUCCGAGUCUGUGGCUCUAAAGUGGAUCUCACCCUCACACCCAGAAAGAUGUCUGUCAGAGGAGCCUCCCUCCUCUUUAGACGCACAACACAUCUUCACAGUCUGAGGUACGUAUUUAUGUCGUUAAUUGUUCUUAUGAUGCCAUCUUGUCCAGUUUAA